rnacentral:lncRNA from 1 species
GGAUGCUUUUAUUCUGAAAAAGAAGCGUUUGAUGAAAUAGGAGUUUUUACAUCUUGGUGGGAGAUAGGCCGUCCUUGCCCCCCACCCACACCCUUACGUUUAAUUUUUAAGCCCAAGUGAUGAACUUCUAAUUGUAGAAGCAGGUGUACAUUUAGGGUUGAGGUGAGAACAUUUCAGAGGCCAGGUAGGUCCUCUAGGUCUCUGUGAACAUGCACGCACCCCCCUGCCCUAGACACAUCUCUCAUAAGUCUCAAUCUAAGUCAACACUGAAAAUAGAUCUUAAGGCAAGAAUUUUGUCCCUUCUGUAUUCUAAAUGUAAACUAAACUGUAAGUCCAUGUGUAAUUAUUCUGGCCUGGAGGCUGCAGUGCUAUAUACACACUGCGGCACUGUGAACACUUCCCAAGUUUAUUUAGUGCUGAGUGCUAUGCCGUGCAUGUCAGAGCUGAGAAUAAUCCUGUCUGUGGUCUCCACUCCUCUGGGGCAUUCUUAGUGCUCUGUGACUAACAUGCAGGACCUGUCAUGUGAGCCCCAGGAAGGGCUGUUGAAUCAUGCCAAUCUGAGAGGCCAACAACACGUCAAUUAACUGGAAACAUUAACUAGGAGCAGGGUGGGGGAGGGGAGAAACGUGAGUUGGGGAGAGAGAGACACACACACACGGACAGAGACGGGAGAGGAGAGAGAGAUGAAGAGAUAGAGAGGAGGAGAGGGAAGGGAGGAUAGGCAGGAGAGAGCCAAAAAGAUAGAGAGUGAAAGGAAGAGAGAGAUAAGAGAGAAGGAAAGAUGAGAGGGAGGAAGAUGGAGAAAGUAGAAGAGCAGGAAACAACAGUUGGAGAGAGAGAAAGAAGGAGAGAGAGAAAGAGAGACACUGAGCCCUGGGGACAGAGGGAAGGACAGCUGGGCUGGAGGCAGGGGGCCUGGGAGCCUGGUCAAGUCAGUCCAUGAGGCUGCUCUGAGACGUCACUGGGGGCAGGGAGAGAGUUAUCCAGAACUUUAGUACAGUCUUCUUUCUAGAAAACAGUGCUACCAGAAAGGGCUUAUGUCCAGAUCUGAGGUGCACUUACUUGUUCCCGAAGAUCCAAAUCUAAGUUGCUUUUAGAUUCUACUCUGUGCUUCCACGGAGUCUACUCUAACGACCUUGGCCAGGUCUCUGGCCUCCAUCAAGGAACGACCAGAAUUCCUGGGUCUGGCCACAGGUUUUGGCCCCGCCUCAGAGGGUUGGGUGAGGGGGCUUAGCAGGUGUAGGAGAGCUUGCUCUGGGCAGUAGCUGUGGGCCUUACUUCUGUAUUUGCCGCAGUAUCUGAUUUGCCCUGUAGAGCAUUUAUGUCACUAGGUUUUUACAAAAGUUGCUUUUUGACUUAUUGCCUUAGUGACGAGUUGUCAGGUUUUUCUCUGUUUAAGUGGCUACAGCUGAAUAGCUCAGGCCAAACUUAAAGCUCACACUUGAGACUUGACGUGCUCAGCUCCUGCUAAAGAGGCUCCAGGGCAGCGCCUGCCUUUCCGGGAAGCUCCCCUGAGGGUCACCGAGGCUGCAGAGAACACCCGGUGAUGACUGCAUGGAUCUCCUUCAUCUGCUGGGAUUCAAGCUGUGUUGCUGGGUCCUGCCUACCCAUCUGAGGACAUGUCUGCUCAUCACCCAUGUGCAUUCUGUCACAGUGGGACCUGUGUGUGUUCCCUGCUCAUUGUCGUUUCCAUGGUUUUGCUGAUUCUAUGCGAUUCUUCCAGGCCACUCCAAGUUCCACCUCUUCCACGAAGCCCUCCUUGAUUGCUGGGCCCUGGUUGAACUCCUUAUUAGUAACACCCAGGGUUCUCAAAAAGGCAUUCUAGGAAGUCCUGUAAAAUACAUGCUCAUAAAAAUCUCAUAAUUUCCACAAAUUGUUGAGAAUUUAAAACUCGGUUGGGAGUUUGCUGUUUCAGCCUGAGACACCGGGGUCACGUUUCAGUGCCUGCAGUCUUGAGACAGUACCAGGCAUCUGGGAUGAAGCUGAGGAAAGAAGAUGUGGGGGCCCUGCUGGCCUGCUCCUUCUCUCGAAAGACGCUUACCGGCUGCUGGUGUGUCACAGGGCUUUAGGAUUUGGAAAAACAGAGGGAUUUAAAAGAAGAUAGAAUGGUCAGAAUUUCGAGAACUGUGUGCUGAAGUGCCAUCUUUAGGGUGCUCAUAACACGGCCUUACAACAUUAGAGGUGCUGGAAUCAUGGAAGAGGCAUCUGGACUCUGUAAUGUCCUUCCCCCUGGAAAAUCUGCUCCAGAAGUGGGGGAUUGGGAGCUGUCAACAUAUGAGCCAUCUUUUGCUCCGUUCAAGAUGGUAGGGGCAUUCUCAACAUGCCCCUCACUCUGAUUCUGCCUCACUUUUAUUUUAGAAUUUUCCACUGCCUUUUCUGGAAUGUGCUUUUUCAACCCUCAAAAUCUGUAGAGAAGAAAUAAGCAGAAACCGAAAUGGCUUUCUGGUGUUCUCCAUGCUCUCAGCUUACUGGAAAAUCGAGCCGCAGGCUCGAGGCUGGACUUUAAGGCAGAGCACUGCAAUUAUAGUGCUAUGGCCUUGGCUUCCUUUCUCAUCACCCAGGUACAGUCCUGCAGUCCUCAGAGGAUGCCAGUCCCACACAGGGGGAUCCUUCUCCAUAGGAAAACCGAGGAACAAUGCAGGUUCGAGGUGCACAGUGGCUAAGCACACUCAGUCCUCAAGAUCUUUCCUCUCAAAUGCUAAUGCUACCUUCAGAUGGGCUGCUGCCUGCUACCAUUUCAACAUUGAGUCCUUUAAGAUGCCAUCAGAGAGAGGGGAAGCAAGAGGCCAAGAAAAAUGAAAGGAUAAUCCUGAGUUUAUAGAAUUUCAUCACAGUGUGUGAAACUGGUUUUUAACUUCACUAUACUGGCCCUCAGCGGUGGAGUCAACUGGGCACUGAAUAGAAAAAUCUCCCUCCUCCGUGUUGUCCCCAGCCCACCACAUUUCGCCCUAAGCUCUGCCCUGCACCAACACCAGCCUUCUUCUGGAGUUUGGCAGCUGUGGCAACUGCUGGCUGUCUCUCAACCACUUCACAAUAUGUAUCAAUGUAUUCUACAAAUCAUUGUAUUUGCCAAGCAUUCUACUACUACACAGUUCUGAUUCAACUGACGUGUAUCUUAGAGGUCAAUAUAUUUUCUUUUUCCCUUAGCUUGGCUAGGACUCCAUAGGAAACAGCUAUUUGAGUGAUGAUAUAUAGGAGAAGGAUAGUACUGUAUUUAACUGUCUGUUAAUAUCAGAGAAGAUGAAUAUUUUUCACCUCCCUGUACAUAGCUAUGCAUAAGCUUGGUAUUCAUUUAUGAACAAUGUAGCAUUUUCAAAGGCACAACUGAUUUACUUACAUUAAGUCAAUAUAAAUAAAUUAUGUUAGUAGAUUGCGAAUUUUGAAAGUUGUAAUCAACAUCAAAAAUGAAAUGUCUUGGUUGUCCAACUUAAAUUAUAUAAUGCAAUUUCAACACAGUAAAAAAAAAAUCACCUAGCGUAAUAGUGAGAGUUUGAAUCAUUAUUAGUUAGAUUCUUGUUUGUAUUAAUUAAGAAUUUCACAGACAUUGUUUGUAAGUGAAAAAGAUAUUUUAAAUAAGUAUUUAGAACAAUUUUUGUUUUGUGAUCCUUCAUGCUGCCUGUUGAAUGAGUUAAGCAAAAAAGAAUUACAAAUGGUUUAAACAGAAAAGGAUUGGCAAAUAAAUAAACUAGAGUUGUGCUGGAGAAAAGUGCAAAACCCUUGACUCAUUUUAAAGAUAUUUUAAAUAAAAUAUUAGUGAUCAUUUAAAUUAAUAAACAGUUCUAAGUUUAAAAAAAUCAGGAAAACUUUAAUUACAUUGAAAAUUACCAAUGUGUCCUGUGUUCUACCAAAGUUUAGAAAAUUCUAUUUACAAUUAGAUGACCUUGGAGAUUGAGAUUAAAAAGGUGAGUUAGUUCCCAGUCCAUAUUUAACAUUUUUUUUUGUACAGAAUCCCAUUAUUAUUUUCUCCCUUAGAAAAAAUUAGAAGCUAAGUUAUGCUAUGUUUAGGACAGAUAUGACUCUGUUUUGGCAGGUAAUGGAUGUCAGGAAUGAUUUUCUAAUGGCUAGUACAAUGUUUUGGGGUUUUUUAUUUUUUAAUAUUAUUUUGUAAUUGACAAAUAACAAUUGUACAACAGCACAAUGUUUGGUUGUGAUUUCUACUACUGUCAAAUGUUGUCUUCUGGUGACUAGACCUUUCGCUUUUUGACUGUGUUUAAGCUGGAAGCCCUAAAGCCACUGCAGGGUCAAGCGUCCCCAGUGCAGUGAUGGUCAUGGGGCCGUCACUACCCACUGAAAGCUGGGAGAGGACAGCCCUGGCGGGGUCUGCAGUGAUGGUCACAGGGCCGUCACUACCCACUGAAAGCUGGGAGAGGACAGCCCUGGCGGGGUCAACUCCCCCCCGAUGCAGUGAUGGUCACGGGGCCGUCACUACCCACUGAAAGCUGGGGGAAGACAGCCCUGGCGGGGCCAAGGAGCUUGCAGUGUCCCAUCAACCCUCCUGGAGAGAUGCCUGAGACCCGGUUUUACCUAUGAGUCUGGCCUCAGGACAGGAAAGAUGGGGACACGCACAGCUGAGGCAAGAGCCAUGACAGGGCAUCUGCUGUCAGCCACAUCCACCCCAGAGGGAAGCAUGCCCUUACCCCAGAGGUGAGGACACAGAGAUCCAGAGGCGGCGCUGGUGCCCUUCACUGGGGCCACACCACAGGGCCUUUCCUUCCUUUGUCAACCUUGCUCUGUGGGCCAGGGGAGCUCACUCAACCUCACUCUCUUUAAACCCUUCAUGCCAACCCAGAAUCUGGCUCUGCUCAUCCUUGCUACGCUAGAGUGGGCUUUACUGUUACUCAGAGGCUGACAAAAAUACUUGAGAAGAGUCACUUCCAGCACGACAGAAGGAGGAGGCUGACAAAUCAUCUUACCUAAAAGCAACUAUUAUGCCGGACAAAAGUGUCAAAAUAAUCCUUAUGGCACUCCCGAAAAUGGCCAAGUCUCUGGCUCAGCUCUGGCACUGAAGGUGGUCAGCCCAGACAAGGCAGGCACUGCAGAGGGGCUCACUGAUUCUGAGUGUGGUCGGUGAAAGUGGUGGUCCUGGGGGCAAGCAGACAGGGAAGGUGGCAGCUCCACCACCUGGGGCCGUGGUCAGUCACAUUCAGGCAAGCAGCAGGCUGACAGGUCCUUCCUUCCUGCCUGCCUUCCUUCCUUCCUUUUUUCCUUCCUUCCUUUUUUCCUUCCUUCCUUUUUUCCCUCCUUCCUUCCUUCCUUCCUCCUUUCUUCCUUCCUCCCUCCCUUUACAUUACAG